AUUUAUCCCCGACCAGGAUGCAUUACCUAAUCAAUCUACAGUCUCUGCAGCAGUUCAGACACCUGUGCCAAAGCCAGGCGGCAGAGACCUCAAGAAUAAUGAUGCUGGAUGUCAAUUUGCAGCACUGACGACCACAACAUCCUCCGCAGCCAACCAGCAUCAAUCCAACACAGAUCCACAGUCCAAUGUCUGCAUCAGUGGUGCUGAAUAUCAGGAAAUGCAGCCACUUUCUGUGCAAGCAGAGUCCCCAGAUGUUCAGCAGAUGGAAAACAGGAAACGAAUCCCCUCUUCACAGGGACUCCUGGCCACCACCAACACCAGGCGUGCAGUUCAGAGCACGCCUGUACCUCUAAGCUCUCAUGGUGGUGCACAGAAUGAUUCUGCUCCUCCAAUGUUAGGUCUGAGGUUGCUAAAAUUCUCCAGCCCUCUGCUGUCCCAGCACACCUCUUCACAAAAUCCACCGGCACCUCAACCACACGCAUAUCCCACUGCAAACCAGGAAAUCCCCAGAUCUUUUCAGGCAAAGACUAAACUUGACUUCAACAAAGGGAGGGAAGUCAGCAAUACAUUUUCAUCUCCAAUAACUCGCCCAUACAAAUCAACUUCCAGGACUUCUCAUCCCCAAAUUUGGCCUUCAGGACAGUCUGCAAGUUCCCCGCAGCUCCCUCCUGCUUUUCCUGCUCAUACACCUUCACCGUUUCAGGGACUUCGCCUGCUGCAGCUGCAGCCACCUCCACAUCACAACAUCACCUUCCCUAAAUUACCACUCCCAUCAUUCUCUAGACCUUCUGCACUCAUUCCAGUUCCAGUGACGGAAACGCCUCCGAUCAAACUUCUGCAGAUCAACCGUGGGCCCAAAGUGGUAAGCAUCAACGUUUAGGAAUUUACCAUCUUUACAUUCUGGUUCGACAGUUACAUGUAGUUUUUUGGAUGUACCACAGAUAUUGCCCCAGCCAGUUCCCUCAACCCACACGCCCCGUCUGAUCUCUAUGGAAGAGUUGCAGAAUUUAGGGGUUGGGCAACAGGAACUGGAAAAAACUCCUCUUCAGUUGCUCAGAGUUCAAAAAUCUCCUGAAAAGCCCAUCACCUCAUCCAGCUGUGCCCCCAACAAAAGGCAUAAAAGAAGAGAGGAAAAGGCAAAAGGGGGGAAAUCUGAGGUCACGUUUAGACCAAAUGAGUCUAUCAUCCCUACUCAAGAGACUCCAGCGUUGCCUACAAGUGAGGAACCUGCAGUUGUUGAGAAAAUCCGCUCUGAUCAGGACAUCCCAGAACCUGCAGUUGACUCCCUAACCGGUCAGAAACUGUUGGGUAAGAUCUUUUCCACUUCAGCUGAGCUCCAAGCCAUGGCUUCCACAAGUAAGCGUCCCCCGGAGUGUUAUGACGUGUCCACCAACACAGACUCGGAUUGUCCCCCACAACUUGUGGAUAAAGCCAUAUCUGUCCAAGCCUCUGUGAUGACUGGCAGCCCAAAAUCAACAAGUUCAGCAAAUUUCCAAAUUUUUUGUGAAGAUCCUGUUCGAGACGGAGAGCAGCAACCAUGGCAACCAGAGAAGAAUACCAUUCCACCUGGCCGCCAGUUUCUAAGUGUUUUAGAUUUCGAAGGUGAAGACGGAUCCCCACGUCCUGCUCCAGAAAUACGAGACGUUCCUUCCGUUCGACCUUCCUCGCCCGCAUCUUCUCAGCUUCAUGUUCUUGCAACCUCCGUCCUCAGGAAUGACUUUUCUGCUGUCCAAAUUCCAGAUAACUGUGUGCCGCUCACCACGCCCCCAGAAAUGCCCGAGGAGUCUUCCUCAGAAAGCAGCCGCGGGUCCAGAAGCGUUUUAGAAAGGGUUACAUCCCAGAACAUGACAGAGAACUUGCCUGAAUCUGAGAUCUGCCGAGCCAUCAGGAACCAGAGUGGCGUCCGUCAGAACGCCUCGCCUUCACUCCUUUCAGUGGGGUUCUCCUCACGCCUCUCAGUACUGGACGCCCAGCUUGCUGCGCUGCAGAACAUCGCGGAUCAUCUUGAGACGGACCUCGUAAAAUCCAGAAUGGUGGUGAACUCCCUGGAAAAGCUUUCCUCACCGAGUUUGAAGCCCACAAAGGCAACAAAGAAAACUGUCAGAUUGUCUCUUCCUCUGCAAGCAUGGACACAGAGACCUGAUCCAGCCCUUUCAGCUGGAAUAAAUGCAUCAGAGCUUGAUAAAAACCCUACACAGCAUGACGAUAAAGACCUGCUUCUCAGUGAUGAAGCUGGAGCCUCCUCCUUUCACUCACCACCAGAUAACUUUACAGAUGCAGACGAGAUAUCUCAUGAGUGGACGGAUGCUGAUCCGGGCCAAUCCGAGUUAUCUGAUACGGUGGAAUUGUUAGACGAGCUGCUAAAGGAAGGAUAUUUAUUUCCAACCGACCUGGAUAUGUCAGAAUCCCAGACUGUGCAGCACAACAGCAAGCAAGACCUGCAGCAGAGUGGCUGGAUGUCAGAGGGACGGGCUUUUUCCCGGGAGGACAGGAAUGAACUGAGGAUAUGGAUGAGAAGGAAACACAGGGAACGACUGGCUGCAUAUCAGAAACACAGAGCACGUCUGAGGGAGCAGGAACACAAACCUUACACUGCCUCUCCAUCCAGGACUCGAGCAGCCUCACGGAAAACCAGAGAAGAUGAAGAAAAGCUGACGCUUCUGGAGCAGUACGACCAGCGCAUGAAGGAGGCUUGUUCUUUGGCCGGUGAAUUCAAUCUUCCUCCGAGAACCCAAGCGAGUUCUUCACGCACUGAAGGUUCUCAGGUUCUGUCCAAAAAGUGGUCAACCGCUGCUCCGCUCAGCAGGCCUCACAGUGUGUCCGUCAGUGGCAAAAGGGGAAAGGCUCGGCUCCACCCGCAGACACACUCUGUGGAAAGACCGCCUUCAGAGGAUCUCCACAGACGACUGGGACUUCAUCGGCCUGUGACUCUUUUACCAGGGGACCGACUGUCUCAGGUGACGAGACGCGGCAUGCUCAGUAAGACGCUCCCUAAACGUGAUGCGGCCAGCCAGAAUGAAACCAGAGACGAUGGACACCAUGGAGAACCUGGACUGAACCAGACAUAUUCAAGAGGGGGUGCUAUAUACAAAAGGAUUCACAGGGAGCUGCCUAAAGUGGAAGGGAGAAGAGAAUUGGACAGUUCAGGACCUCAUAGACCGCAGAGGCUCCAGCGGUCUGACCUUGUUCUCACAGAGCUUGUGGAUGAGGAGGAAAAUGAUCCCCGUGGAGUUUCAGGGAUAGACUGGCUGGACAAUCUGUCUGAGAGUGCAGACAGCUGCCUCAGUAAAAUAGACUGGGCAGCUAUAGAGAGAAUGGCUGCUGCAGAAGAGUCAGAUGUGGACUCUUAAGCAACACAGGAAGAAUAAAUUGUCUUGUCAAGUGCCUAUACUAAUGUAAUAUGUUAUAUUUUAAUACAUUUGUAUAUAUAUAUUUAUUUUAUGUAUUUCUGUACUUUAGUUUUGCACCAACCCCAAUGUUUAAACAGUUAAGUGUUUGCAUUUUCAAAACAUACAAAUAGAGUGAGCUUUUUGGAGCAAAUUCUGAGCAUGUAUUUUUAGCCAUUAAACUGUAAAUGAUAAAUUUGAUAUCAGUGCUUGGCUCAGUUUAUUGUUAGGAAUAAAGAAGGCACGGAAAGAAGGUGUUUGGUUGGUGACCUUUGACAUUGCAUGUGCUCUGAAUGGCACUUUCUACUGCAGGUUAUGAGGUUUCUUUUUAGUUUUUGUAUACAACGUUUUCAAAUUUUCAAUUCACAAAGACGUUUUUGUUCUAUGAGAUUUCUGGGUCCUCCACAAAACUUAACUGCACUUUUAAUGGAGCGGUAUGUUUAUUUUGAUUCACCUGCUGUCUUUAACAUAAGCCAUUAAAAAAUGCCAUUUGAAUUAUGUUAAGGAUAGGAUGAGGUGUUUCUCGCAAUGACAUGACAAACUGAAUGAAGAAAGUUAUCACAUAAGAGAAAAAGGGAAAGAUUAUCUUGUAGAAAUCAGUGUAAAUCAAUGUUUCCAUUUAAUAGGACAGUAGCCUAAAUGGCAGCACAUUGAGUAACUUCUGACAGGAGAAAGAUGCUGCUUAGUUGGUCAGUUUAACCCUGGAGGACAUUAGAACAAUUUUCUUUUAGGCUUUUAUAGUUAAUUUCCCAGCUUUGUUGUUUGUUCAUUUUGGUAAUCAGCAACAAAAAAGGAAAAAAAAACCCCACUGUGGGUUCUCCAGGGUUAAACAAUACAUUUAUGUCAAAUUCUAUGAUUGUAACUAGUUU
rnacentral:lncRNA from 1 species